CCAUAAGUUUCCUUAUGGGAUGGACUAUAUCUUAAGCCUAAUUAAAGACCCAUCUCCAUAUAGUCUCUGGACUUCAAUUCAUAAAGAAUUUUAGCUCAGUAUUUGUUCAAUUCGACAAAUUUUAACCAUUUCAUUUAAUGAAAAACAAUAUAUUAUAUUGUUGUGGU
rnacentral:ncRNA from 1 species